AUUUCAGUGUGUUCUUGCUAUAAUUCUUUUUCUCAAAUAAAUGUUAUUAACGUGCAAUUUUGGGCUAAUUGUCUAAUAUUUUUGAGCAGAUGUAAUUCAGAGUAGCACGCUGCAUCCUCACUGAUAGAUUCACAUAUGUUUUUGAAAGUAUCUAGACUAGACUAGCUGUGCAAUUACUCACCAAGCGGCACACAAACUCACAACCAUGAGCCAGCAGAGAAAAAAAACAAAACAACAACAAAAAAAGAGUGCUCUGUGUUUCUCUGCUUUUUAUAACUUUCCCCUUUUCCUCGCUUUUAUUUAGCCCCAUAAAGCAGAGUUUUCAGUUGGCUUCAAAGCUCUGUGCCGAGCUCAGUUGGGGGCCUUCAAAGCCCCCUGUCUGUCGGCAGGUUUAGGCACAGAGAAAGCUUCUUGUUCUUUAAGGAUUUGGCUCACAAAUAACGCCCAGCCAGGGCCAAGGCAACUAGCUUGCACCCUGACAGGAUAGUAGACAGACUCCAGCAUUUUAGUGAUGUGUUUUAUGGGCUAUUGCUACAUCUAUCCGAGGUUUUCUCUUUUUCAAACUGGAAGAUGCACAGACAAUGACAGAGGAGACUUGAAUGAUAACCAAAGAAUGAUGCUGGCAAAGCAUUGGAUUGUAAGCGUUAGCCAGAGGCCCAGUCUUUGUCUUUUGCCUGUCAAAAAAUGGAGGCAGAGGCUUCACCCUCUGAAGGCCUCCAUCGUACAGACAGCUGUUUAACCUGCUAGCAACUGCCUCAGCCAGGUGAGCUUCUGCACUACACAAAUUUAAACGACUGCUGUUACUGACAUUAUGUCUACUUUGAUUGGGAUUCAGGCUUUGUACUGCAUAAACCGGUUAAAUCUUUGACAAAUACAUGUGCAGUACUUGCUGCUGGAUGGAAAAUGCUAAAUUGCUAAAUGAAGAAAAGGGUAGGAAGUAGACGAGUUUAGUUGUAUCUGCAAGUCGAGUAUUCUAAUUAAAAGUGUGUUGUUUUCCUCCAAAAAUCCAGCGCCUGUCAAUGCAAAGUAACCACAGUGAGAAAGAAAGAAAAUGGCCAUAAGUAAAAUCUAAUAUUGCAGUUUUAUUUACAACCUUCACUGUGAAUAAUCUGAGAGGAGAGGAGAGGAGAGGAGAGGAGAGGAGAGGAGGGGGAUGGGUGGGGUACACCCAGGAAAGCAGAGCAAAUACUGAGAUGCUGAAAAUUGAGAUUGCUACAGUUAGAGCCCGACUAUCCCUGCUCUACAGCUGUGACAUACACACAAAUCAGAGAAUCUCAACUAAAAACAUGAAGAAGGUUGAAGAGUGAAACUUCCUUCAUCUUCAAAAUCUCUUGGAAAAUUUGCAGUUUUUUUUCAUAAGGUCAUUUUUCACAAUUUGUGCAACAGUAUGCACAUUUACGUCCAUCCAUAAAACAUAAAACACUGUAAAACACAUGCAGACCAGCUCUCAGGCACAGAGAAGCCAGUUACGUCAGUAUAUUUUCACACUGCGGUAGUGUGUCUUUGUCUGCUUGUCGGCCAGCCAGCUGUAAGAUGGAGGGCGAGAAAUAUGCUUUUAACGGACGACUUCGUCAGGCAAAACCCACGGCGUUGUCGUUUCUGUUUACGUGUGGCAUCGUUUGCUCUGUCGAUUUACGUCAGAUGAUUGCUACUGUGUUAUUUGGCUUUUAUUUUGUGUAUUUGUGAUUACUUGUAUUGUAUGAGGUCGUGUGUGCAGGUCGAACAAUGCACUGAUUGGAAUAAGUAGUUCUGCAUGUCGCAGUCAGCUUAGCAGGUAAAUGGUACGCCUGUGUUGUGCGCUCCACACGGGAAUGCACAGCGUACCUGGUGCGUCUUAAAAUGUUUGUGUGCACAUUAGUGGGGGAUGGCAACCUCCUGUUCAUCUAGCCACAGCAUCAGCUGUUGUUCUGUCACAAAUACACACACGCGCACACACAAAUUGAAAAGCAGAAGUGAUUUGUUCCAAUCCUAUUGCUGCAGAAAAGGAGAGUGCGCAAUAAUAUAUGUGACUGAUAAAAUAAUAAAUCCAUAUUAUUGCGGCACAGCGCAGAAACACAGUCCUGCGACACAUGUAGCUCCCUUUAUGAAGCUUGUAACAUUGCUAUUGAUUCCACUCUUAAAGUAAAUCAGCAAACUUCUCGUUUUUUUGUUUUUUUUUUACUUAAAGUGUUUUAUGAGCUUCUCAUUAGCGUAAUGUGAUUUUCAGUGUCACCGUCACCGUCUUCUCCUACCUGACCCACCCGGACAAACCAGCAGCAACAUAAUCGCUGGACGCAAACUCGAUGGUGUUUGUUUUCGCUUAGCUAUGACAGCGAUGCACUGAAGACAAAGCCGUUUCAGGCACCGGCAUCGAUAUGUGACAGACACGGGCACAAAACAAAACCCCGGACAUGCGUGGUGAGGCAGAGGAAGGCUCAGAGCGGCUCACACUGAUUCAGACUUAGAGGAGGCCUCAGUGAGCGAAGGUUUGUCGUUGUUCCACGAACACAAACCCAGAUGCUUUCAGGCUUUGAUUCCAGGUUACUUUUUCACUGUUCACAGUGGGAGCGUGCACACACACAUAUAUAUACGCAGACACACACAUGCACGCACACCAUGGACUGGACUGAUAGGAUUAGAGACUCGCGCUAUAUUCUCUCUGUGUCUUUCUUUUCCUCUCUCACCCCCUCUCUCUCUUGAGCCUGCAAAGCCUUGAUUAUUCACAAGGUUAGUUCCUGAUUGCAUAUAGCAGUAGCAGACACAGGUUCAUUAUCUCUCCACCUCUUUUUUCUUUUCUUUUUUUGCUCUCUCGGUCGAGCGAAUAGGCUUGGCUCACACACGGACUCAAAUUUGCAGGCUCACAAAAGACACUCUAGCAUGUUGCGUAUUAUUGUCUUUCCCUUCAUUAUUUCCUUAUUUUAAAUCUCUCUCUCGCUGUCUCUUGAUAUUUUCCUCUCUAUUUUUAGUGUCCUGGAACCCAGGUAUAUAGAGGAUUAUUCAUGUAUAGUAGGUAGGAUGAUGUCUGCCGUCGAUUAUACUAAUAAAAUUGCAGUGAGCUUGAAAAGGCAGGUCUAGCAGAAUACUGAUGACACUGUAUGUAUGUGUGCGCGUGUGUGGAGGAUAUCAGUGCUGCAGCAGCGAGCUUCAAAAGGUAGCCGUCGGCCAGCCCUCUGCUGUCACACAGGAGCUGUCGUUAGAAAACCUCCAACGGUAGCUCACAUACAAACACAGCAUACGAGGACGAGUUUCUGUUAAAGAAAGAAAAAGUAUCAGUGGAAAUGUUGUGGUUUUGUUCUAAAAGACAUUUCCUUGUGAGAGUUAUUGUCCCGAUAUUUUCCGUUGUUGGUAUUCUGAUAAAUGAAUGAAGCUCUUAUUUGUUUAUUUCUCAUUCGUUGUCAGGAUGUCGGAAAAGAUUGUUAGUUUUUCCCCUCUUUCUGAGGGACAAUGUCCCUAUUCGGAGGAGGGUGCGAGUGCAGUGUUGACACAUGUUAGUGCUGGCUGAUUAGUCGACACAUAAAGGAACAUGUAGCCCCUCCAUCACUAUUCAGCCAUUUUGUCUCCCUGUCUGUCACCCCGGUGGAGUGGAUGUUUGUGUGCGAGAGAGGCUUUUGUUAAGGAAAUGCAAAGGAAAGAGAACGAACGAGAGAGAAGACACCAUGAAAAAUUACACCGACCACAGCCAAGUCCCUGCGACCCUGGGUUGUUGUUUUUUUUAUUGCUAAUUUCUGCAUCUUGGGAUUCUACAAUAUUUAAAAUUUCUAUUUAAAAAGUAGAAUUUUAUAUGUAUGUGUGUGCUGGGAAAGUAAUAAAAUGCAUUUAGUGAUGAGUUUGUAGUAGCGCGUUGUGUAAGGUAUUGUGUCAGAUCAGAAGGUCGGUGGACAUUGUGUCUUAAGUGGAUUAACCGGACGGUCAGUGAGACACACAGCCAAAGUGGCAGCCAUAACCACGCCUCUGUCACUUAAAAUUUUCUUAUGAUACUGAUUUGUUUCCCGAGACUUUUUCACAAUAGCAGGGUGGAGUUUGUGCAAAUUCGCUGUGUAAUCUUUUUGCUAAAAGCAUGGAGGCUGACACUGUCGCAGCUCACAUAUUUACCGACAUUUUAUACAUUUAAAACGCCCACAGUUUUUUUUGCAUGUGGUCAAAAUAAGAUUGUUUAUCGUUGUUUGCGAUCAUCUGUUAUUUAACACGUUUUUAUUAUAUACUGCAGAUAAAAAUGCCUGAAUUAUUAUGCCAGUAGUGUUUCAGUUUCUGAAUCUCACUGGGUAUGCAACAUUUAAAAAGCUCUUGGACCUGAAUAUCAUCUGCAAUCUGCAUUAAAAUGAAUUGUUUUAUAAUACAGAAAAAGUGACAUUGUUGUUGCAAUGAAAUGAAUAAUCUCACUCUGCAGGUGUUUUGUUUUUUGUUUUGACAACCAUAUAUUAUUAAAGCGUUACAAUUUGUAUUUUUAAAGAUAUUUCCAGUAUUAUACAGUGCAGUCGGUGCAGUAUUUAAUUUCUGAUAUAUGUAACACAUGCAAACACACCUUACUAUAUAUAGUAUAAUAUUCAGAGUAAUCUUGCUGAGCAUUUGAGCACAGAAAAUAUGAGUGUGAUUUUUUUUAACAAAAGACAGAAGAAAUUCAACAUUUCUUAAAUAGUUUCUAUUAAAAAGUAAUUGUGAAGUACGCAUUUGUAAUUGUAAUUUUCCCCGUCUUUAUAUUAUUGUUAUCAUUAUUAUUUAUGUACAUUGUUUGAUACUGUAUUCAGAUGGAUUAAUUACUUACUGAUUGAUUUUUCAGGUCUUGCACUGUUUUUGGAGAGAAUAAAAAAAGCAUAAACACUGUACCUGAUAAAUAGUCUGUGUACCUUUGAACAGCAUAGCUCCCCCUCUGGCUUUCAGGAAGCUUAACAUGUGCAAUGCACCUCAUUUGGUGGCAUCAGUGCGUUGCUGUGACUUUGUGGUCAUCUCUUAAUUAUUUUUUGGGGGGUUUUCUACUCUUAAUGCUCAGACUAAAUCAUUUAAGCUCAUUUUAUUCUUCACAUAAUUGCGUAACUUCCUAGACAAAGCAUCACGGUUUAAUUUCAUGCCCAACAUUUUUCUAUUUCUGUCUAAAAAGAUUCUGUGAUUGUUUUGAUAAAUUACACUAUUAUUAUACAGUAUUUUACAUACUUAUAGGUAAUCACACAGAUACUAAUAAUAUGGUUUAAAACUACUCCCAUGGAUCAGCAUUGCAUUGACAAGAAUAAAAAUAAAAUUAAUACAUACGUACUCGUGUUUUUCGUCAGUCUUCUUACAGGGAUCAAAUUUAAAAUCAUUUCAAUAGAAGCUUUCAUAUCACAGUGCAUAUUAUGCCUUAUCUCUACAGAUAAUAAAUACUUAGAUGUUUCAGAUUUGUUAUCAAGCUCUGUAUGCCUUAUCACUGCAAAGUAAUCUAUAUAUGUCUAUAUGUAUAUACUUAACCUGGUCUAUGAUAGACUAAAUGAUAAGCUUUCUAAAGUACUGCGAAUUCGAUUGUGAUCUGAUUAUACCUUCAAGGCCUUGAAGUCAAAGUCCAGUCAAAGAGCUGCUUUAUUCCACUUAUUUUCCUCAUAUUUCUGCUUUUUCGUCUUUGGAAAGUGAUUUCAAUAGAGGUGGACUCCACAAGGUUGCAUGUGUUGUGUAAUGCCGUAUACGGUAGUUAAUGUGCGUCUUCUCUAAAGAUGUUGUUCUGUGAGGUUUAAAAGGGAACAAAUUAUUACUUUGUCCCUUUGAUAAAGUGUGACUUUUGCUCCAUUGAAUUUAAAUUUUAGAACACGUGCACAUAGUGUGUGAUAGCAUUUAGAUUUGUUUUUGAAUGUUAAUUACUCAAAAUUUUAAAGGUGUGUUUUCUAUCUAAUAGUAACUAUUCAACAUCUUGACUAUGAAGCUAGGUUGCUUUAAAUGAGGCCUGUUCGUGUGUGUGUGUGUCGUAACCCUUUUGAAUGCUGUCAAUUUUUCAGUCUUUCAGUUUUUUGGUUUUAUGUCUGUGUCACACAUAUUUCCAACACACACACACAUAUAUUCAUUCAUCUCUAUGCAGGAUCAGUCAUGCUAAAGGUCGUCUAUGUGCCAGCUUGACAAUAUUGUCUAUAAGCUGCUUUGGAGCAAGAGAACUUCUAAGGACAAUCACCAAGAGGAGGUUUUCUUCGCUUUACGUAUGGCUCAGUGUUAGCGUGAAUCACCGAGGUGGAGGGUGGCGAUUCUUUUCAGCUCCCUCUCAGCUGAACCCAUUCCAACUGUGAAUAGAAACUGCAAUUGAUUUGCUAAUGAUAGAGUAUUCACUGCUAAUAAGAUGGAUAUAACAACCUUGUCCUUGUCGGUUUGGGAGAAAAUUGGCCUCCUAAAUUGAUUAAACUGAAGGUGAACUGGAGGCAGCCGUGCAGGAUGCUGCUUUAUGCCGUGGAAAGAUGAUUUGAGAUAAAUGUGAUGGAGCUGUUUAUUUCAGCUUUUUUUUUUUUUUUUAACUAGAACGUGCCGUUUUAUUAUUGUAUAAUAAAAUGAUUGGAAAUUUGUAUCAAUUUGUGAAAUUAUUAAGACAAAUUUUAUCAUAAUCGACACUUAGACUGUCAACAUCGCUGUUAUUUCUGCUGUUUUAAACAUGCAGAAUUAUAUUUUAUGAAGAACUUUACACAUCGGUUUGUUAAAAACAUGUAAAAACAUUUUUUUUUCCUUCAGGCCAUUUAGCAAAAAUGGUUAUUGGGUUUUUAUUUUACAAUAUAUUUUUUCCCUCUUAUAUCAGCAGCCGCUGUGCCAUGAGUUACUGACUGGAGUCAUUUUAGGUUUGCAGAGUCAUGUUUUUGGGUUUAGCAUUUCAAACUAAAUCACUAAUAAAGAGAAAAAUCUCUGUAGAGCACUAUUUCGAAUUUCACUCCCUUGUUAUUUCCCAUCAAACUAACAUUUACACCCUCUCAUGGCUUGUUAAAUUUAUUUCCUAGUUCAUAAUGAUAUGACAAUAAUAAUGUUAGUCAUUGGGCCCUGCUGUGGAUGUGACACAAAUGGCAUAUAAAUCCAGAUGUGACUGGCUUUAAUGAGCAGCUGCUGACGAUAAUCCAGCUGAUAAAUGACUUUUAGGAGCUUUAAAACCCCUUCGGCUCCAGCAUCACUCCACGAGGAGUUUAUUUUUCAGCAUGACAUCACGAGAUGUAAUAAAAUAUCAGGGAAGAGUGUGGUAGCUUAGCACGUCAACCACAUAUUCGCAGUGUUGAGUGAAAUCCAGCAGAAGCCGGCUCUGCCUCUCUGUGUGCCUUGUGUUUAAUAAAACAGAGACGGGCCGUAGAAUUGAUUCAGAAGAAGCCGAAUGGCAUUGAAACACUACAAUGAAACUUGAGAGCUGUGGCCUUCCCAGUGCUCUGGCUCGCUGUGUUCGUCGCCACGUCGUGCGUCUCUGUAGAGGCGUGAUAGAGUGCAGUGCAUGAAAUCUCAGCAUGGUUUUACAGGUAGAUCACAGUGCUUGUACAUCACACAGCAGUGCUAUGUAACUCAGCUGUCUCUCCCAUCCUCAAUUUCCUCCUGCAGAAAUCUGUAUGAGUGGUGCCUCUCUGUCUGUCUGUGCAGGAUGGAUGCGGGAUGGAGGACUUUUACCAUGGCAACCACUAAUGCAGUAUAGAUGCAGGGACUGAGCAUGGGCUACUGCUGUAAUAAUACAGGAUUCGUGGAAAGCAGGUGAAAUGUCAUCCGGGCUGUUUAAAUGAGCACCUUUGAAGUCUGCUGUGGUUAACAUUGAAUCCCACUUGGCUCUGGUGGGGAAAUUAGGCUAUUGUUUCCUGUGUUAGUUCAGCACCCAAGCAUUCUUUCUGCUCAGUUUCGAUUCAGGAGCUUGUAGCUGACCAAAAAAUAAAAAAUAAAAGAGUCUCUCCUCAACACUAUGCUAUACUGCAUAGCCUCACUUCAUUCAUAUGUCAGCCCCACCGUCACAUUGUUUCCUAUAUCGGCUUAUACUGCCCAAUCCUCAUAAUCCGUCUGUAGUCUGAGUCAAAUAUCUGGUCCAUGCAGUGUCCUCUCACCUUCUUUUAGGAUGUGAUUUCCUCUAUCCUCCUCUUCCUCCUCUUCACACACUGGAUUACAACUGUCCAAGUUUGAAGAGUAACACCGAGCAGGUUAGCAGAGCGUUUUCACCCUUCCUGCUGUUUUUUAAUAUACCACAAAAUUAGUAUUGUUAUUGCUAAUUGAGAGCAGCAACAUCACCUCAGACUAUUCUGUAGUGAAUAGAGUGACUAAACAAUUUUGUAAUUAACGCUGUAAAAAGUAAAUAAAAAUAAAAAUGACAUUUAAUUUUUUUCAUUUUUCACAUUUGUUUAAAUGAAUUUGUCAAGCUCGCUAUAAGCAUCUGCUACACUGUAAAGUAAAGGCCAAAGUGAAAGCGUUAUAGUGUAAAAUACAUGGUCAGUGACUGACAGAGUAUAUUUGGUUUGCCCCGCUGUGUUAGAGCCAUUUUUCAGUGUCAAGAGGGCCAUAAGUCGCAGCCUCCGCACGAGAGUGUCGGUCCAAGGCAAACAUUCCUUCCAUGUGUAUCCCUUCUCUGACCUGCUGUUGCUGUGUGUGCAUGUGCUUGUGUGUGUGUGUCCCUGUGUGUGAGGGCGUAUUUGUUUUGUCUGCCCCUAUCUAUAGCUUUGAGCUGCCCCUUUCUUUAACAGCUAGAGAAAGAAACCACACCCCUCGGGCCUUGGCCACUGCACGUGUAUGUGGUACUUUGCUCUCCUGGGAUUUGGUGAUUUCUAUUGCCGUGCCAUUUCCUCACCAAUAACCACGAGAUGCCAAACUCUUCAGUUAAACAAGAGCAGAAAAAUUAAGAGAGGAAUUUUUGAUAAAAGAUAUUAUAAUUAGGGACACACGUGAUCAUAUGUGCCUCGAAAUACACAUUUUUGGGAUCAACACACCAACGAAAAAACUGGUCUUUCUUAUUACUACGCUCACAUACAGCAGACCUGCACAUAAAUUAAAUAACGGGGCACACAGAAAUUCUGAUGCAAGUGUUCACACAGGCAUAAGAAUGCAAACACACAUGCGUAUGUGAAUACACAGCACCGGUGUUAGCCAAUGAGAACGGAGCUUGAACAAGACCUGCAAGUCUCUUGUGACUAUCUGCUCCUAGGAGACUGGGAUCUACCUGUUUUUAUGUGCUUGUUUGUGUCGCUGUUGGCACCUUGAGCUCUAUAUUAUCAUUACCUUGACCUGUGUUUAGUCAAAGCAAAAGCAUACAUAGCAUACAUGCAUACAUGCAUACAAGCAUACAUGCAUACAUGCAGUUUCGUCACAUUCACACACGAGUCAGGAUAACUGAUGCUUCGAUUAAAGCGCUAGUGCCAAGCAUUCAUUCUUUUUUCUUUUUUUUCCCUAUGUGUAGUAUAAUGUUUAAUCUGUUGUCAUACUUGUCUGCUGAAAUGGAUCAAAAACACUGCUGGACUUAUUUGUGUAUUAAUUGCCGGCAAUUGACUAAAUCCACCCAAAAAUUAUAGGAGUUGGACAGAUUAUUGUGAACUGACCUCACAGUGUGACAUGAUGCAGGAUUGGAGAGGCGUAGAUUACAAGCAAAUAUACAGAGCGUUUAAAUUUCUAUAUAAAAUGCAAGUAGAAAUUAAUCUUAACAUGUUCGUCGUUUCAAUAGUGCUGGUACUUCUACUAAUGAUGAUGGUGAUUUUAUUGUAUUCUAUCAGGCUGCCUUAUAUUUUCCAAUGAUCUAUUUACAUCCAAACAAAAAGAAUUUGUUAUUAGAAUUAAAAUGUGCUUUGUCCUCUAAAACACCCUGUCUUGAUGUCCAUGCUGCUCUGCAUUUAUCAAUGAAUUGCAGGUGUAAAUACUCAGCGAACUCCUCGUGCUGCCAGGGCGGAAAAUGAAACGGCCUCUCCAGCUGGAAGAACAAGUGUUGUGUGGGCUCCCUGAAGUGGUGCAGCACUGGGUCAUUGGAGAGCCACAGCGUGUUUGGGAACACAACAGUCUGUGUUUUUUUCAGCACAGCUUGUUGGAUGAAGGGCCAUUUCACAGGCAUUAUGGAUUAAUCUUUGGCAGGAUCCCUCCAGGAUCAAGCAAAACUGGGCAUUUAACCUCACGUGUCACGAUAGAGAGUUCUCUGGUGAUAAACCAGGACAGAGAGGAUUGAAGGUGACCCACAUUUCUCUGUAGAUUCAUUACUUGAGUCCUUCUUAAAAAUAAAAUACGGGUACACAUCCUUCUUCAGGUAAGUGGUACCCAUGGACAAAUAAAUAAUUAAACUGCCUUAAUGUGAAGUGGAAAACCACCACACAUUACUGUGUUAUAUCUCCCUGCUGAUCACCCGAUGUCCUGUUUAGGUACCAGAAAGUGACCGUUUGAACUGCGCUGCUGUGUCUGUCACUCCACCUUGCUGUCACCUGCACACAAUCACAGAUUCACAGCUGACACGUCCCAACGCUGCUUAUAAACUGUUCGUUACGCUCAAUAUUGAAAUGCUUUCAAGUUCAUUUUGACAGGAGGUGUGAUUGACAGGUGUAAAUUGAACAGUCUGGGUGCAAACAGAAAGACUGCUUAUAUGUAUCCUAGCAGCUGUACAUGUGUGAACUGUUUUAUUAAAUAAACGAAUGGAUGUGAUCUUGCUUGUUUUCUUGCAUCAUGAGAUUAAUUUUAAAACGAGAAUAAUAAAAAGUGAUAGUAUUUAAUGAUCAAUAGCUUUUCCAGAGAUACACUAAAUCAAGAGAUUGCGUUUCAAAUGCAUUUGAUCUUUGACUUUUUUUUUUUUUUUUACAGACGGCAAAUAUAUUUUUUAACCCUUUACCUGGACCUAGAGGUCAAACUAAACUGUAAGGUAAACCCAGCACAUGUGAAGCACUUCCAGUUCCCUGUUGCCUUAAUUUGACAAGGAUACGCUAUGUUUUGUUUAUUUACUGGGCUUAAAUUGUGACUAUUGGUAUUGUCUGAUAAAAAUGAAAUAAUGAAUCUAUUAUACAGACAUUAACAUUUUGAAGGGCCUGUGGAGCGAAAAUUUGCAUUUUUAUUCAUGCAAAAAAAACAACAACAAAAAAACCAAAACAAACUACAGUACAAGAAAUAUCAUCUUGUACUCACACUAACAUAUGUUCCUCUGAUUUUAGUGAUGCCUGUCUAAAUCAAUUAAUUCUUGGAUUUCUGACUCAGUUAACCACAAAUCACCGGCAACAUAAACAGCUGGAUUUUCACACUGGUUUUUAGGAGAGUUGUAUUUUUAGAAGGGCUCUGUUUAGGUUGUGCACGCUAUAUAAAUCCAAAGGCAGGUAUGACUUUUAAUGAAGGAGUUCACAAAUACAACCUGUUUUACAAGAGUGUACUUGUAAGCAAGUGAAGGCUUUAAUGUAGGGAUGCCAUCUAACUCAAGCAUGGUUAUGUCAGACAUUGCAUUGUACCAUUGUAUCUCUUGUUCAAAGAGGGCUUUUUGUGAUAUGUUUUAAUGUAUUUUCUCACAGAUUGCUCUUUUCAACAUCUGCACCCACAAACACGCAUCAUGUUUGAUAUUAAUUGUAUGUUGUGGAGAUGUUGGAGGUUAAAAGCCCUCCUGGAGGAACCCAUAGUUAAAUGGAAAUAGAAAUCACAAGCCUGUCACCUAAACAAUAAUUACGCUGCCUUUCCACUGAUAUGUGUUUUGGAGUAUAAUUAGAAAAUCUGAAUGUCUCGUCAUCCUGUUUUCGUGAUUUUGUGCCUUUUUCGGCUACAUGAGCACGCACCUGUGAGAUAAUGUGACUGCCAAGAAGCACAGUCAUCAGAUUUCAAACUUUGUGGCUAUAUAUAACAGUGAGUGGCAGCAGUAAUUGUCACUGUGGUUUGAAAGCUAUUCCAAAUGAAAUCAAUCACACGCUGGUACUGUAAUUGUCUGUGUCGCAAUCAGAUGACACAGGGUGGAGUCAUUUUAGGUGAUGCGCUCAUAUAUUGUGUACGUAUUGGCUCUGUUGUUGAUUUCAUUCCCAUGCAUCCUAUUCAGGGACACUGCAUUGACUGUUUUCAAUUGGAGUUUGGCUUUCAGUAACCUAUUCCACCCACGCACUGUAAAUAAAGGUUAAUGAAAUAGCCUGUAGGCAGUUCACAGGAAAGGAUUUACCUUUGUUUGCCCAUGACAUUGCUACCUGCAGAAUGAAGGGGUACUGAAAAGGUACAUUAUCUGCUUUCAUAACGUGGAGAUUAAGGGACCGAACAGUGAGUAGAGGACUUGCAAAGCAUAUUUAAAUUUCCUAUGUGGCCUAUCCACCAAGUUACUUAUUAUUGAGCCAAAUAGAAAGUGAUCUGAAAAUUAACAGCCACAACUCUGUGAUCUCAGAAUAAAGGAAAGAUCAGACUACUCACUUGAAGGACCUUGGCGAUGCCCAUAGAUCACUAAUAAUUUUAAUGGCUGAAUGUGCGUUCUAAUGGACUCAGGAAAUAUGAUUAAUCUAAGUCUACAAUAUUUAUAAGAAGUAAUUCUGUUAUAGCAAUGCCCACAUUGUUUGAUCAGUUAUGACUUUAAUGUGAUUAAUUGGCUGAUCUCAUAUUUUUUCCAACUUAAAUAUGAAAACCACAUUAAUCACUUUUUAUAUUUUCUGCAUAUGUGAGAUUUGGUGGUAUUCACAAACAAGUCAUGAGCCUUCCAGACAUCACUGAACAGAACACAGGAAAGCCAAUGAGAGGUGUUCCAACUUGCCCAGUGAGGUCUGUUUUAUGCCCGGGGACAUAAGCAGUUUCAUAAAAGAAAGACCACAAACAUUAGCUUGUUUGUUGAGCAUUUAGUUUACAGCAAAGUACAGCAAAGCCAGCACCUCGUGUCACAUAUAUCUUACAAUCUUUUGUUAAGGAAACUAAGAAAACAUCUCACUGACAUUUUCUUUACAUUACUUAGUCUAAAUGUGUGUUUUGUUUGCCACAAUUUGUCUCCUGACAUUAUUUAAAAUGCAAAGAAACCAACAAUGGCUUGGGCAAAAUGCGGAUGUUGUCUCUCUGAACAUAUAUUGAAUUAGAAUUUGUCAUUUUGUCUAAUUUAAUUCGUUUUGAUUUCUGUUUUGUGUG